UACAGAGGGUGCAAACGUUGUUCGGAAUUACUGGGCGUAAAGCGCGUGUAGGCUGCUCGGAAAGUCGGAUGUGAAAGCCCUGGGCUCAACCUAGGAAGUGCAUUCGAAACUUCCGAGCUGGAGUGCUGGAGAGGAAGGCGGAAUUCUCGGUGUAGAGGUGAAAUUCGUAGAUAUCGAGAGGAACACCGGUGGCGAAGGCGGCCUUCUGGACAGCGACUGACGCUGAGACGCGAAAGCGUGGGUAGCGAACAGG
rnacentral:rRNA from 1 species